CUGAGUAGGUGGGUGACUGAGGGAGAUUUAACUGCAUGCUAGUCAGUGUGUGCUUCAGCUUUCUGCUCUUCUGUUCCUCUAGACCAGAGACAGAGGUUCCCAGCUCCUCCAUGCCUCACAGACGCCACCAUGACUUUGUGGAAGGUGAUGCUCCAGGCGGCGAGGUGGGCACCUCUGUGGACCCCAGCAGUGGCUACAGUUGCAUCCCAGUGACCCGCAGCGGCGGGCUCGGCCCCGACCACCUGGACAGCCAGCUCUACGGACACAUCUUGCUGCCCGGCCACCUGCGUCCCCGCCGACCCAAGCUCCAGCACUCCCAGUCCAUCCUCCGCAAGCAGGCAGAGGAGGAGGCCAUCAAGCGCUCCCGCUCGCUAUCAGAGAGCUAUGAGCUCUCAUCGGACCUGCAGGACAAGCAGGUGGAGAUGCUAGAGCGUAAAUACGGUGGGCGGUUCAUAACCCGGCAUGCAGCCCGCACCAUCCAGACAGCCUUCCGCCAGUACCAGAUGAACAAGAACUUUGAGCGUCUUAGAAGUUCUAUGUCUGAGAACCGUAUGUCUAGACGGAUCGUCCUAUCCAAUAUGAGAAUGCAGUUUUCCUUUGAAGGACCUGAAAAAGUCCACAGCUCCUACUUCGAGGGAAAGCAAGUCUCGCUAACAGAUGAUGGCACCAAGAUUGGUGCACUGAUGCAGUCAGAGCACGGAGGGGAGAUGGUGCAAGCCAAGACCCCUACGACACAGAGCGACUUCACAGACGCUAUCACAGAACUAGAAGAUGCCUUCUCAAGGCAGGUCAAAUCUCUGGCCGAGUCCAUAGACGACGCUCUGAACUGUCGCAGUCUGCAUGGUGAUGACAGCCAGUCGGAGCCAGGGAGAGGCCACCAGGAUAUGGACAGGGAGGUCAGCUGCCAGGUGAAACCCUCCCACCCCGCUUCAGAACACCGCAAACUGGAUGAGAUGACGGCGUCUUACAGCGAUGUCACUCUUUACAUCGAUGAAGAGGAACUGUCCCCGCCGCUGCCCCUGUCUCAGUCUGUGGACCGACCUUCCAGCACAGAAUCCGACUUGCGUCAGCGUUCCCUUAACUCUUCCCAGGACUAUUGGUCACUGGCUCAUAAGGAUGAGAAAGGGGACACGGACACCAGCUGCCGCAGUACACCAUCUCUGGAGUGCCAAGAGCAGCGCUUGCGGGUAGACCACCUACCUUUACUGACAAUUGAGCCUCCGAGCGACAGCUCGGUGGAGCUGAGUGAUCGUUCUGACCGCAGUUCUUUGAAGAGGCAGAACGCCUACGACCGUAGCCUCAGCAACCAGCAGAGCAGCCCCAAAAACAUCAGCCACAGCCUGCCGCCACGAGGGCCUUCGAGAGAAGAGGACGCCACCCGCCAUCGGCCACGGCAACUGGAGGCCCAUUUGGCCAUUAAUGGCACCGCAAACCGGCAGAGCAAGUCAGAGUCCGAUUUCUCUGACGGUGACAACGACAGCAUCAACAGCACAUCCAACUCCAACGACACCAUCAACUGCAGCUCGGAGUCCUCGUCCAGGGACAGCCUGAGGGAGCAGACGCUCAGCAAGCAGACGUACCACAAAGAGACUCGCAACAGCUGGGACUCACCUGCGUUCAGUAACGACAUCAUCCGCAAGAGGCACUACCGCAUUGGUCUAAACCUCUUCAACAAGAAACCCGAAAAAGGCAUCCAGUAUCUGAUAGAGCGAAACUUUGUUCCAGACACUCCGGUGGGUGUGGCCCACUUCCUGCUCCAGAGGAAAGGCUUGAGUAGGCAGAUGAUUGGCGAGUUCCUGGGUAACAGACAGAAACAGUUCAACCGAGAUGUCCUUGACUGUGUGGUGGAUGAAAUGGACUUCUCGAGUAUGGAGCUGGACGAAGCGCUGAGGAAAUUCCAGGCACACAUCAGAGUGCAGGGAGAAGCGCAGAAGGUUGAGCGGCUGAUAGAGGCCUACAGCCAGCGCUACUGCAUCUGCAACCCCGGUGUGGUGCGACAGUUCAGGAACCCCGACACCAUCUUCAUCCUGGCCUUUGCCAUCAUCCUCCUCAACACAGACAUGUACAGCCCCAACGUCAAACCCGAGCGGAAGAUGAAGCUGGAAGACUUUGUCAAGAACCUUCGAGGAGUGGAUGAUGGGGAAGACAUCCCCCGAGAGAUGCUGGUAGGCAUAUACGAGCGGAUUCGCAAACGAGAGCUCAAGACUAAUGAAGACCACGUGUCCCAGGUUCAGAAAGUGGAAAAACUCAUUGUUGGAAAAAAGCCGAUUGGCUCGUUACACCACGGUCUGGGCUGUGUGCUAUCCUUACCCCACCGGAGACUAGUCUGUUAUUGCAGACUUUUUGAAGUGCCCGACCCCAACAAACCCCAAAAGUUGGGGCUGCACCAAAGGGAGAUCUUCCUCUUCAACGACCUGCUAGUGGUUACUAAAAUUUUCCAAAAGAAGAAGAACUCUGUGACGUACAGCUUUCGGCAGUCCUUCUCACUUUAUGGCAUGCAAGUGCUGCUCUUUGAGAAUCAGUAUUAUCCCAAUGGAGUCCGUCUGACCUCAGCCAUUCCCGGAGCUGACAUCAAAGUCCUCAUCAACUUCAACGCACCCAAUCCUCAGGACCGCAAAAAGUUCACUGACGAUUUGCGAGAAUCGAUUGCUGAAGUCCAAGAGAUGGAGAAGUACAGAAUAGAAUCGGAGCUGGAGAAGCAGAAGGGGGUGGUGAGGCCCAGCAUGUCCCAGGGUUCAGUGUUAAAGAAGGACACGGGCAACGGCAAUCUGGGCCGAGGGAGCCUCGACGACAGCUACGCCAUCAGCGAAGGUUUGAAGAGGAGCGCCCUGAGCAGCUCCUUACGCGACCUCUCAGAUGCAGGCAAGCGUGGGAGACGCAGCAGUGCAGGAUCACUAGACAGCAAUAUUGAAGGGUCCAUCAUUAGCAGUCCUCACAUGCGGCGGAGACCCCCCUCCAGCCGAGACUGCCCGUCCCGCCACAGCGGCCAGUCCAUGCCCAACUCCUCUUCACUGCUGGGUUCUUUGUUUGGCACCAGGCGGAUGAAGUCCCCCAGCCCCACACCGCAGACCCUACACCCCACCCUCAUCUCCCACACCCCUCACCCUGCCAACCUGCACCACACGGCCCGGGCGGAGACAGACACGUCGGCCUCCUCGCACCACCCCCAGUUCUGCCACUUGACCCAGAACCCUCCGCCUUACCAUCACCACCACCACUACCACCCGCCGGCCCACUUGCAGCACCCUCCACACCAGUACCACCCGCCCCCUUCUCACGGCCAGCAGCCGGCCUACCCGCCUCACCUUCACACACAGCACGGCCACGGGAGCCACUCAGUACACGCCCCCCACCCCGCUCACAGCGCCCAUCACCAUGGCCCGCCGCCAGCACCCUCCCAGGCCCCCACCAGCACCAAGCCCAAGCACAGCGGCAUCAGUACGGUGGUCUGAAGGUUCACAGGGGCUUUCUGGGCCCUCUGACUGAACUUUGAGUUUACUCCGUGGCUCUCGGCUGAAGAGACGGUGACACUGCCCAAUCGUUGGUCUUGGGAUGUGAAGCUAGACGAGAUCCCGUUGCCUCCCUUGUCAUUUUUUUUUAACGUUCAUCACAGGGGGCAGUUUAUUCAAUAUAAACACAUUUCCUUUCAUGUCUGUUUGCUUCAAGAGCAAGAGACAACAACGCAAGAGCAUGCACAAAGACCAAGACUACUGUUUUUCUCCUUAGUAAAUUAAAGGAAUGUCAUCAAAUAUCUUACUUACUAGUAUUUUACAGAAGUAAAUAGUAAUCUUGACUUUAAUGUCUACAAAGUGUGAUUUUAUCUAGCGUGAGGGUGGUUUGACAGACAGACACACAGGCCGACAGACAGACAGACACCCAGACAGACAGACAGAUCCUCAGCAGUACAGUAGCUGUCCGAGUAUUUAAUGUAGCCGUAGCUCACAGUGCACUGUGAUACCUCUCUUAGCGGUGAUAAAUGUGCCAAUUAUCGAAGCAUUUAAUGAUUUAGUCAAUUGCUUUAUGUAUAUUGUGCAUAGUAUUUUGUAAAAUAAUAAUAUCAACUGUUAUUAUAACUAUCAUUAUUACAAAACAAUUACAACUCUCAGUAUUAUGGCACAUUGGUGGCAUAGUUUCACUAUUAUGAAACCAAUCAAAGCUUUUAUUGUUUGGGCAUUUCAGUGAGCUGGAGUACAGCUGCAUGUGGUUGCCUUUGAGUCGUCAGACUUGCACACGGCCGGCACACAGUCUCGUCUCUCCAGCCUUGGAAAAAGACAGCCACAGCGGUCUGCUGAGCAAACAGGUUCAUCUCAAAGCCCGCCCUUCAGUACUGGCUGCUUGUCUGCCAUCAUUUUAUUUUUUUAACAAUUUUUUCAGUCCAAUAAACAAAAUGAAAUGCUCUAUAUGUCAUACCGCAACCUGGUAGGAUUCUUUAAGUCCGUUCUGCGGGAGGUCGAGGUUUUUUGUGUUUUUUUAAUGGAAACUGUCUGUGCAAACUGUGUAGGAAACAGCAACAUGACUGUUUAAGUGCCCCCCCCCCCCCCCCCCCCCCCCCCCCCCCCCCCCCCCCCCCCAUGUGAAACCCUCAGCUGGCUGAGUGUGCCCGGUCCAUCUUUGGUUUCAUUGCGCGUCUCUUGAGCAGCAAAGCGUGUCGCGCAGCGCUGGUCACUCCCUUGAUCUGACCUUUCCUCUGACGCCACACUACAGAAAUCUAUAAUUAUCGUCCUGUGAAGGUGAAAGCACUCUUAUGCUUCGCUCACCCCAAACGGCGGUUUAUAUCAUCGUUUAUAUAUCGUUUUUAUCUGACAUAUGGGAUGGCUGGUCAUAGCUCCCGGCCUUCCUGUGCACAGUAUCUGUGGUGUGUGUGCAAAGCGGAGGGAAGGGGGGCUGGUAUACUGGAGGAUAUUUUCUGUUGAAAGUGAUUGAAAGACAGCACUUGUUCUCCUUAGUUAAUAUCAACGGCAGAAGUAAGUCUGUAACGGCUUAAAGACUAUGUGAUGGAUUUUAUUUAAACUUGUAUGUGCAAUAUGUAUUCACUUUUUAUUUUGUCUGAGAGCGAGUUCAAUCUUUUGUUUAAUCCUUUUUUGUUAGUGUUGUCUUUUUUUUCUUCCCAACGUCCUUCUGUCAUUUCCCCCUCAAUGUUUCAAUGACCUGCGAGUAUCCACGUGGAUUUGGAAGGAUCUUCCACACUGAUAAAGAAUGUCAAAGAAAAUAAUUGCAUGUAACAAUGUAUUUUGAGGCUAUUUUCUCACUAUUGUGUAUUCUCAAACUAUAUCAGUGUUACAGUUGACAGUUGUUAAACAUGAAUGGUAGAAUAGUUUUGACUUCUUCGAUUACAGCCAACUUAAGUCAACUAUGUAUUUGUGUCCCUCCAGAGAAUUACCAAACCUGUAUCGUUUCCCGAUCCACAUACAGUAGCUUUCUGGAUUUUUAGUGUACAACAGUAGUUAAAGCUGGAUGUUAUCACAGCUGUGAGGGGAAAGGUAGAGCAGGCGCGAUGAAAGAUGUACUCUGUCAUCUGGAAAUCAGAGUGAAAAAGGACAGACCGCUAUGAGAAUGGUGAAUGGAACUCUUUUAUCUUCACACUUAUCAUCUGACUCUGUCAAUGGCUCACACAUUACUGUUACAAGUGAUAUCCAGUAGAUCUUAAAUACUUCUCAAAAUCCUCAAAGUUGUCAAGGUACCCAUCUCCAAUACUCUUUAUAAAGGGUUUGAAGUUGUAACUAAUUUGAUUAAUUAUAAUGCUUUAUUAACUGUUGAAUGCAUUCAUGUUUAACACAUCUGUAAUAAGCCAUCCAUAAGAAUAACUUUUGGGUUGCCAUGUCCUAAAACAGAUCCCCUAGACUGGUGUUUUUCUACCAGCAAAUGGUAAAAGUCACAUUUGGUGGUCCACUGAUCCAACAGUAGGAGGCAGUAACCCAGAUUAAAACACUCCUGAGGAACGUACACGCAUUUCCUGGUUGAAAGUAUUAAAAUUAUAUUAUUAUUAUAGAUGUUCAAUACCAUUUCCUUACCGAUACCUGAACUUGUGUAUCAGCCAAUACCGGUACCGAUUCAAUACCAUGUUGUUAAAAAGGACUUACAUUUCAACAUGUUUUAACGCCAGUACAGUACUGAGCCCGAUUUUUCACUGGCCGCGUCUUUGCUGCGCUACGGCUGCGUUACGGUUUUGUUCCGUCCUCCGCCAUGCGCCAUACCACACCAGGAGCUAUCCAGAAUUCAUUUUGGUUUCCAAAUCAUAACAGGAGUCAUCUUAAGACACUUUACAGAUAGAGUAGGCCUAGACCACACUCUAUAAUUUACAAA